AUUGAACGCUAGCGGGAUGCUUUACACAUGCAAGUCGAACGAGUGGCGGCCGGGUGAGUAAUAUAUAGGAACGUGCCCAGUAGAGGGGGAUAACUACUCGGAAGAGUGGCUAAUACAGCAUACUAUUGGAGCGGCCCAUAUCGGAUUAGCUAGUUGGUGGGGUAAAGGCUCACCAAGGCAACGAUCCUUAGCUGGUUUGAGAGGACGACCAGACACACUGGGACUGAGACACGGCCCAGACUCCUACGGGAGGCAGCAGUGGGGAAUUUUGGACAAGGGGGGAAAGCCUGAUCCAGCCAUCCCGCGUGUAUGAGAAGGCCGUCGGGGUGUAAAGUACUUUUGGCAGAGAAGCGGUAUCUGCAGAAGAAGCACCGGCUAACUACGUGCCAGCAGCCGCGGUAAUUC
rnacentral:rRNA from 1 species